GUUCUGCGGGAACCACGGCCCUUGAAGACCCUGACUCCCUGUGCGAGCUUUCCCUCUCGUCUCCUCGUCGCCCUCCACUUGGCAAGCUGGCUGCCCCAGAGCGUGGGUGUGCAUGAUGGAGAUGGGAAGAGAGACAGCAGAGGGCGCCAUGGGAUGGGAUUUCCAGGAUACCCUGGAUAAUCAGGUAAUGAUUUCAAGCAGCGUCCAUCAAUGUCCAUGAAGACUGAACAUAAUGAAGACUGCCAAUUUCCUGACAUGCAGUGUCUAAUACGAAACCGGAAGAAAGACACUUAUACGACUCUGAAUGUGUGAUGUUGUUCAACUUAAACUAUUAAGGAAACAAUGUUGUAUUCUGUAGUUUUAAAUUAAAUCUUUACUUGGGCGUGGGCAUGUAGUUCAGCAUCAACAUGGCAUUUUGCAAAUGAACAACAGAGGUUAAAAGUGACAUACCUGCCUUGGUCAGCUGCGACUGACCCGGGGUUCUAAAGUAGAUUGUACGUUUAGGAUCUACAAAAAGCUUGAAGUAACCAGAGAUGAGGCACGCAAAGUUACUGGCAUCAGGCCAUUCCAUGAGGAGAACCAGUGGCUGUAAGGGAAUGUCACGAAAGAGAAUUAGGAGACUUAAUAGGGGACAAGCAUAGACCUUAUCAAAUUUAACUGUUGACUAGUGUAUACUAAACAAUUGUAGUAUUUCCGAAGUUAAGUUUUAAACUAUUGUAAUAUGAAACUUUUGACACUUUGUAAUGAUACCUUGGCCUCAUGGAUUGUCACCUCCACACGAGCCACUCCCUGGCUCUCACGGUAGAGCUGGAUCUUAGACACCCGACUGAACUCGGCCAAAACCGUUGUGAGGUUAUUUUUCAGAUCAAUAACGUGACUGAUGCCAUGUCGAGGACCCACCAACAGGGUUGUAGCUGAUUGUUUCUCCUCCUACAGAAGAACACAGCAACUUUACCAUGAUGGAUGGAUGGACAUUUUACAGACGAAUGACCCAAAAAUAUAUUACCAGUCCAACAGUAUGGAACAGUAUUCCACCAAAAGGUGGAAGGUCAUUGAGCACACGCAUGUACUGCAGCUUUCCUUGCAGUGGAGGGACCUGUCAACAGAAUGAUAAAGAAGAAUCUUUUAACAAAGACCAGUCCACCUUUAGUGCUCCAUACAGCCUCUUAGGGGCACUCUUGAGCCACAGUUCUUUCUAAUAAACUCUUAUGCAACAGUUACAUCUGUAAGGAUGAAGAGCUUGUCGAAAGGAAUGAUUAUCAAGCAGACAUAAAGAUUCUAUACAAUAAACUAAGAUCCAGCAGAGGUUUUGGAUUUGCAUUAAUAGUAAUCAAGAAUAUGGAGCAUUUGCAUGCAUAUACAUAUAAAAUCAUCCAGCAAGAUACAAGCUAUUGCAGUCAUUAAAAUGGUUCAGAUUUUUACUGAUAAAAUGUUUUAUAUGAAGAAACCUUGUUCCCCGAUGGUGGUGGAUGCUGGUACGUCUUCAGCAACUGAGACAGGGAUUUGCACACGUUUUUCUCCUUUACUGUUGGAAGUAGAGUAAGUGGAAGGAAAGGCUCUAGACCCCACUCUUUUCUGUGAAAACACAGAGAAGGAUAGCAGAAGUGUACACAAAAGACAAACAGAGUGGCGUGCAAGAGUACAAGGAAGAUGUCAUAACUGCAGGAACAAAGAAGUUUUCUUUCAUCCUAUUGGAAGAUAUAGUGAGCCUGGCUGACAUCUUCUACCAGCCCUGGUUUGACAUGGCUAUCCAAAGUCUAUUACAAGCACAUUGAACCUGUUCUGCUUCUGUGGUUGUGAUAGUCGAAGCUAAUUACUUGCUAGGUCGAGGUUUCGAAGAGUAAGUGGGCAAGUUGAGGGAGAGAUGUAAUUUCACAAAGCAAUGACUUUCUUUUUUUCAUAAUGACCUGCAGAAAAUGAUCUUUAAGUAUUUGAGUUUUUAAUACUGUUGGGAUUAAUUAUUAAUCAUUUAGAUAUUGUUGAAUGAACAAACGUCACUAAGGGACUCAGAAUGGUUAAUGAGGUUAAGAAUGCAAUGGAUCAGGUUUUUUUCCCCCCCUCUAUAAUUUCUGAAAACGUCACUUUUUUGUGGACUUACUCGACAUGCUUGAGGGAGAUCUUCUGAUUGGGCCUUGCAGAAGACACAGUGAUGUAAAUAUGAAGUGCGGCCAAUCGUAACGUGACGUCUGAUUUCCAGUCCAUGCCAAAACGCUCCUUGAUGACAUCGUUGCGACUCUGUGAGGACAUGAUGACACAUGCUCUGUAUAGUGCUCUUUCCAAAUUGUUUUUAAAAUGUAUUAUUGAUUUGUUUCGAUUUCCUCAUAUUCCCAAAGAACAACUGCAAGAAAACUGUUUGCUCUGGCUCAAACAGCACUUUGAGGAGAUAGCAACUUCAAAAGUAUCAUGACUGUUGACAUCUGUUUUAAUAUUCCUUUAAUCCAAUGCUUUACCUGUAUAUAAAGGUACUCAAAUGCAGCGGGGUCCCUUCUUAGCAGAUCUGCAGGGUCCUUGGGAAAGAAGCAAAUGCGGAACAGACACUUCAUCCCUUGGAAAUAGGUUCUAUGCACCACCUGUGGGAAUACAAUUAUAUCAACCACAUACCAAAUAACUCUGAUUUUAUUCACAUAUUGCAGUAUCAUUUUCAUUUAUUUCAUAUUUCAUUUAUUCAUUUCAGUAUCAUUUAAGUGAAGAGAGAAGACUGAUGCAUCAUGAAUCAAUCUGCACUAUCUUGGCAUUUCACGGUGAGUUCUGUUUAUGUGUCAUUUUAGUCAAGGUGUAGUACGGCAAAAAUGUUUAAUGAUCAAAAUCACCUGCUGAAGUUCAAUACGGGGAUCAAAAUGGAAAAAUAGUUAUUUAAGUGACCUUAAAUGUGGAAUGGUUGUUGGUGCCAGAUGGGUGAUCUGAGUAUUUCAGAAACUGAUGAUCUACUGCAGGGGUCUCAAACUCCAGUCCUUGAGGGCCGAUUCCCUGAAACUUUUUUAUGUGUCCCUUUUGCAACACAGAGAAUAAUCCAAAAAAAGAGAAAAUAUUCAGGAGGUCUGUGAGAAAAAGUGGUUUUUGAUUGUUGGUUGUUGAUGCCAGUGGUCAGGAGAGAAUGGCCAGACUGCUUCCAGCUAAUAGGAAGGCAACAGCAUCUGACUUAACCAAGGUGUGCAGAAGAGCAUCUCUGAAUGAACAACAUGUCAAACUUGUGUGGUCAAGAACAGGGAACUGCAACCAGAAUUGAUGAGAAGACAACUGGAAAAAGGCUACCAGAUGUCCUUUGAGGCAGCUACCCGAGAUGAUCUUUCAAAAACUUUUCAGUGACAACAACUUUUGGUUUCUUACAUGUGUCAGUGGCUGGUUCUCCUGCAACAGAUGCAACUUCUGAUUCUGGUCCAGACCACCUGCCUCCAACACCAACGCAAAGUGCUCGAUGUAGCGCAGUGAAAGGCGG